UGCUGGGAUGAACUGCCACUGAGAAACCAUU
rnacentral:piRNA from 1 species